rnacentral:rRNA from 1 species
GGAGAUCACCGCUAUUGGGGUUCGAUUAAGCCAUGCGAGUCUUUGGCAGCAAUGCCAAGGCAAACUGCUGAGUAACACGUAGUCAACCUGCCCUUAAGUCAGGGAUAAUCUCGGGAAACUGAGCAUAAUACCUGAUAUCCGAUAAUGCCUGGAACGGCUUAUCACUUAAAGCUUCGGCGCUCAAGGAUGGGACUGCGGUGGAUUAGGUUGAUGUUAGGGUAACUGCCUAACAUGCCGAUAAUCUAUAGGGGCUGUGAGAGCAGUAGCCCCCAGAUGGGUUCUGAGACACGAACCCAGGUCCUAAGGGACGCAGCAGGCGCGAAACCUCCGCAAUGCACGCAAGUGUGACGGGGGGACCUCAGGUGCUAGCACCACGAGUGUUAGCUUUUCGUGAGUUUAAAUUGCUUGCGGAAUAAGUGGUGGGUAAGACCGUUGCCAGCCGCCGCGGUAAUAACGGCACCACGAGUGGUGAUCACGCGUAUUGGGUCUAAAGCAUCCGUAGCCGGACAGUCAAGUCAUUUGUGAAACUUCAUAGAAAACUGUGAAAAGUGCAAGUGAAACUAGCUGUCUUGGAACCGGGAAGGGUUAGAGGUACUUCUAGGGUAGAGGUGGAAUUCUGUAAUCCUAGAGGGACCACCUGUGGCGAAGGCGUCUAACUGGAACGGAUUCGACGGUGAGGGAUGAAAGCUAGGGGAGCGAAGGGGAUUAGAUACCCCCGUAGUCCUAGCUGUAAACGAUGCCCGCUAGGUAUUGCGUGUUUUUCGUGAACAUGCAGUGCCGUAGGGAAGCCAUUAAGCGGGCCACCUGGGAAGUACGGUCGCAAGGCUGAAACUUAAAGGAAUUGGCGGGGGAGCACACAAGGGGUGCAGUCUGCGGUUUAAUUGGAUUCAACGCCGGGAACCUCACCAGGGGUGACAGCAUAAUGAUAGUCAGCUUGAAGAGCUUACUUGAAGCGCUGAGAGGUAUUGCAUGGCCGACGUCAGUUCGUGCCGCGAGGUGUCCUGUUAAGUCAGGUAACGAACGAGACCCGUACCCUAUGUUGCUAACUGUUUCCUCGGAAGCAGUGCACUCAUAGGGGACCGCUGGUGACAAAUCAGAGGAAGGAACGGUCAACGUUAGGUCAGUAUGGUCCGAAUCCCUUGGGCUACACGCGGGCAACAAUGUUAGGUACAAUAGGAUGCAACACCGAAAGGUGAAGCUAAUCCCUGAAACCCUAACUUAGUACAGAUUGAGGCUUGCAACUCAGCCUCAUGACGCCGGAAUCCCUAGUAGUCGAACGUUAGCACCGUUCGGCGAAUACGUCCCUGCUCCUUGCACACACCGCCCAUCAAACCACCUGAAUUGGGUCUAGAUGAGGUCUUAUCAACUGGUAGAAUCGAAUCUGGGUCUAGUAAGGGGGGUU